CAGCUCUCCGAGUGGUGUGGAUGUUUAUUGGGCCUAAAGCAUCCGUAGCUGGCUAAGUUAGUCCCUUGUUAAAUCCACCGAAUUAAUCGUUGGAUUGCGGGGGAUACUGCUUGGCUAGGGGACGAGAGAGGCAGACGGUAUUUUUGGGGUAGGGGUGAAAUCCUAUAAUCCCAGGAAGACCACCAGUGGCGAAGGCUGUCUGCUAGAACGCGCCCGACGGUGAGGGAUGAAAGCUGGGGGAGCGAACCGGAUUAGAGACCCGAGUAGUCC
rnacentral:rRNA from 1 species